UACGUAGGUGGCAAGCGUUGUCCGGAAUUAUUGGGCGUAAAGCGCGCGCAGGCGGUUCUUUAAGUCUGAUGUGAAAGCCCACGGCUCAACCGUGGAGGGUCAUUGGAAACUGGGGAACUUGAGUACAGAAGAGGAAAGCGGAAUUCCACGUGUAGCGGUGAAAUGCGUAGAGAUGUGGAGGAACACCGGUGGCGAAGGCGGCAUCCUGGACCAAUAUUGACGCUGAGGAGCGAAAGCCAGGGGAGCAAACGGG
rnacentral:rRNA from 1 species